rnacentral:rRNA from 1 species
UACGGGAGGCAGCAGUGGGGAAUAUUGCACAAUGGGCGCAAGCCUGAUGCAGCCAUGCCGCGUGUAUGAAGAAGGCCUUCGGGUUGUAAAGUACUUUCAGUCGUGAGGAAGGUGUUAAGGUUAAUAACCUUAGCAAUUGACGUUAGCGACAGAAGAAGCACCGGCUAACUCCGUGCCAGCAGCCGCGGUAAUACGGAGGGUGCGAGCGUUAAUCGGAAUUACUGGGCGUAAAGGGCACGCAGGCGGUUAAUUAAGUUGGAUGUGAAAUCCCCGGGCUUAACCUGGGAAUGGCAUUCAAGACUGGUUAGCUAGAGUCUUGUAGAGGGGGUAGAAUUCCAUGUGUAGCGGUGAAAUGCGUAGAGAUGUGGAGGAAUACCGGUGGCGAAGGCGGCCCCCGUGGACAAAGGGCUGGACGCUCAUGUGCGAAAGCGUGGGGAGCAAAC